rnacentral:rRNA from 1 species
UUUCCCUCAGGAUAGCUGGCACUCGUUAAACGAGUCUCAUCUGGUAAAGCGAAUGAUUAGAGGCCUUGGGAUCGAAACGAUCUCAACCUAUUCUCAAACUUUAAAUGGGUGAGAUCUCUGGCUUGCUUGAAUAGUGAAGCCAGAGUAUCACUUGGAUCAGAGUGCCAAGUGGGCCAAUUUUGGUAAGCAGAACUGGCGCUGUGGGA